GGAAGAACCCAGCAAAGUGCUCCGAAGAAGAACCAAAAUGAAGAGGCUCUGAAGAGAGAGCAAGAGACUGGAAAUAUGGAAAUGGGAGCAGAGUCGGCAGGCCUGAUCCCUGGAGUCUGAAGGGAUGAGGAAAUCAAAACGGCGGUUAACAUCGGUGCCACACAAGGAAUCCACUAUCCUCCAUGGAGACAGACACUGCCAAGGACAAGCACCCGGAUUAUCUCCUCCCCACGAAGAGAUAGAGACUGGUGGGAAAGCUGCUGACCAGCAAGUUCACGGCUCCCUCCUCUCAUCAAGUAGUCUCAAGGCCAAAGAAAGGCUAUGCUCCCCCUCCGCUACCUAAAAUCCCAAAUAAAAAU
rnacentral:lncRNA from 1 species